GAGGAAGGGGGACACCCCUCUUGGCCCGAGACGCUGACCCGGGCAUUUCCUAUGUCCCCCUGGACCAUGGCCUGGAGCUUCGGGAGCCCUUCCUGGCGCCCCAUCCUUCUCCCUCAAAGUCGUGUGUCCCUGACUCUAGCUCUAAUGUACCUGAAGACAACUACAUUCCCUCUUACUUGGCCUCGGCCUCGGUCCUGACCAGUGGGUGAUGGGCAGGCUCCUCCACCUUGUCUGCCGGCAGAGCCUGUGAGCCACCGUUAUCCCAGCUCUUAUCUUCCAGGCUCAUUCCCUCAAUCAUUGUGGCAACGGAGGUGUUGCCUGAUUCUUGGGGAGAUGAGCGUGCACAGUUCCCAUUCUGGGGUGGGAGUGGAGCCAGAGGCAGACAGGAGCUAAUAAUUUCAGGCUCUGGGAGUGCCAUGAAGGGGGUCAGGGAAUGGAGGAUGCUGCCUCCGAUAUAGCGGUCAGGAGGGGCCUCUCUUAAAUGUUUCUAGACGGAGGGGGACGGCAAGGGCCGGGGAUGGGGGUGGGGGGCAGGGAGAGCUGUGUGCUUGGAGCAAGGGGUUUGGCGCACAAGGGAGGAAAUGAGAUGACAGCCUGGGCCCAGGAAGGAUAUGGACUUUAUUCUAAAAUCAGAAAGUGUUCCUGGAAACCCAUGGAAGGUGUUAAUGAACAAGGCAGUCAUGUUUCCCUAGUCAGAGCUCUCCAGUGUCCUGGGCUUUCUCAGCAUUUUCAGGGAUGGGAAGGGGGUGGGGCGGGGGAGGGACAGAGCAGGGGCUGUGGCCAAGCCAGCUGAUUUCCUGCCAAUUCCCAUGACCAUGCCCUCCUCUGACCCUCUGGGUUCUCCUUUGAAAACUGGGAGUGAUAUUGCCACCUCACUGGAUGCACACCUGGCCCAACCUGCUGUCAUCCUCCCCACAGGGCCUGGCCGCCCCUCCCACAGAAUGCCCGAGGGCCCUGAGCUGCAUCUGGCCAGCCAGUUUGUGAACGAGGCUUGCAGAGAGCUGGUGUUUGGUGGGUGUGUGGAGAAGUCACCCGUCAGUCGCAACCCUGAGGUGCCCUUUGAGAGCAGUGCCUACAGCAUCUCGGCGUUGGCCCGCGGCAAGGAGCUGCGCCUGACCCUGAGCCCUCUGCCUGGGGCCCGGCCCCCACGGGAGCCACUGGCCCUUGUCUUCCGCUUUGGCAUGACUGGCUCCUUCCAGCUGGUGCCCAGCGAUGCGCUGCCACCCCACGCCCACCUGCGCUUUUACACAGCUCCACCUGGCCCCCGACUUGCCCUCUGCUUUGUGGACAUCCGCCGAUUCGGCCGCUGGGACCUCGGGGGCGAGUGGCAGCCAGGCCGCGGGCCGUGUGUCUUGCUGGAGUACGAGCAGUUCAGGGAGAAUGUGUUACGAAACCUAGCAGACAAGGCCUUUGACCAGCCCAUCUGUGAGGCCCUGCUGGACCAGAGGUUCUUUAAUGGCAUUGGCAACUAUCUGCGGGCGGAGAUCCUGUACCGGCUGAGGAUCCCCCCCUUCGAGAAGGCCCGCACAGUUCUGGAGGCCCUGCAGCAGCGCAGGCCGGUCCUACCCCUGCCCCUUCUCCAGAGCCCGGAGCUGACCCUGAGCCAGAAGAUCAGGGCCAAGCUGCAGAACCCCGACCUGCUGGAGCUGUGCCACUCGGUGCCCAAGGAAGUGGUCCAGCUGGGGGGCAAAGGCUACGGGUCGGAGAGCGGGGAGGAGGACUUUGCUGCCUUCCGAGCCUGGCUGCGGUGUUACAGUGCACCAGGCAUGAGCUCCCUGCGGGACCGGCAUGGCCGCACCAUCUGGUUCCAGGGGGAUCCUGGACCCCUGGCACCCAAAGGACCCUCCAUCUCCAAACAAGGCCCCUUCAAGGACACGAAGGGCACAGAGAGGCCUUCCUAAACAGACUACAGCCCAGGUGCCCAAGGGGACCAGCCUCCACCAGGACCCAGAAGCUCCCCCAGUCCCUGACACAGGGAAGAGGAGGCGGCGACCAGCACCCUCAGGCCGCCGCAGAACCCGAAAGACCAAGGCUGACACCCCAUCCUUGGAGCCUGAGGGGACCUUAGCCUCCUAGCAAGAGGCUCUUCUUGCUUGUAUCCACCCUUCCUCCUGGCACCCUGGAUCUGGGCCUGUGUGG